rnacentral:rRNA from 1 species
GGAUGCGAUCAUAGCAGCACUAAAGCACUGGACCCCAUCAGAACUCCGAAGUUAAGCGUGCUUGGGCGAGAGUAGUACUUGGAUGGGUGACCUCUUGGGAAGUCCUCGUGUUGCAUUCC